GAUGAACGCUGGCGGCGUGCCUAAUACAUGCAAGUCGAGCGAAUGGAUUAAGAGCUUGCUCUUAUGAAGUUAGCGGCGGACGGGUGAGUAACACGUGGGUAACCUGCCCAUAAGACUGGGAUAACUCCGGGAAACCGGGGCUAAUACCGGAUAACAUUUUGAACCGCGUGGUUCGAAAUUGAAAGGCGGCUUCGGCUGUCACUUAUGGAUGGACCCGCGUCGCAUUAGCUAGUUGGUGAGGUAACGGCUCACCAAGGCAACGAUGCGUAGCCGAGCUGAGAGAGUGGUCGGCCACACUGGGACUGAGACACGGCCCAGACUCCGACGGGAGGCAGCAGUAGGGAAUCUUCCGCAAUGGACGAAAGUCUGACGGAGCAACGCCGCGUGAGUGAUGAAGGCUUUCGGGUCGUAAAACUCUGUUGUUAGGGAAGAACAAGUGCUAGUUGAAUAAGCUGGCACCUUGACGGUACCUAACCAGAAAGCCACGGCUAACUACGUGCCAGCAGCCGCGGUAA
rnacentral:rRNA from 1 species